GUGUCAGCCGCCGCGGUAAUACGUAGGCAGCAAGCGUUGUUCGGAGUUACUGGGCGUAAAGAGUGCGUAGGCGGUUUCGCAAGUUUGGUGUGAAAUCUCCCGGCUUAACUGGGAGGGUGCGCCGAAAACUGCGGAGCUGGAGUGUGGGAGAGGUAAGCGGAAUUCCUGGUGUAGCGGUGAAAUGCGUAGAUAUCAGGAGGAACACCGGCGGUGUAGACGGCUUACUGGACCACGACUGACGCUGAGGCACGAAAGCGUGGGGAGCAAACAGGAUUAGAUACCCUCGUAGUCC
rnacentral:rRNA from 1 species